rnacentral:rRNA from 1 species
UACGGAGGGUGCAAGCGUUAUCCGGAUUCACUGGGUUUAAAGGGUGCGUAGGCGGGUUGGUAAGUCCGUGGUGAAAUCUCCGAGCUUAACUUGGGAACUGCCGUGGAUACUAUCAAUCUUGAAUAUCGUGGAGGUAAGCGGAAUAUGUCAUGUAGCGGUGAAAUGCUUAGAUAUGACAUAGAACACCAAUUGCGUAGGCAGCUUACUACACGAUCAUUGACGCUGAGGCACGAAAGCGUGGGGAGCAAACAGG